GACGUAGGGCGCGAGCGUUGUCCGGAUUUAUUGGGCGUAAAGAGCUCGUAGGCGGCUUGUCGCGUCGACCGUGAAAACUUGGGGCUCAACCCCAAGCCUGCGGUCGAUACGGGCAGGCUCGAGUUCGGUAGGGGAGACUGGAAUUCCUGGUGUAGCGGUGAAAUGCGCAGAUAUCAGGAGGAACACCGAUGGCGAAGGCAGGUCUCUGGGCAGUAACUGACGCUGAGAAGCGAAAGCGUGGGGAGCGAACAGG
rnacentral:rRNA from 1 species